rnacentral:lncRNA from 1 species
CCAAGUCCCCAAACAUAACCACUUUAAAAAAAAAAUCACCUUUAAAGUCCCAACAUGUAACGAUUUUCAACCUACUAAGUCAAAAAAACAUAACAACUUUCAAAACAAAAAAAUACCUUCAAAGUCUUUACACUUAAUCAUUUUCAACCUACCAAGUCACCAAACAUAACCACUUUCAAAUGACAAAAUUACCUUUAAAGUCCCUGAACUUAACCAUUUUCAACCUAC